AUCCCAAACUAAGCCCCUCCCUGAUGGUUUCUGUCCACUAGUCCAGACCUCGGAGCUUUAUGUUUUUAAAAUGUUUGCAGAAGAAGUUAGUUUUUAAUUUUCUCCUGAACAUAAACACAAAAAAAUAUAUCCUGAUUUUCAGAGGCAAGGCUUCUUUUAUCAUGUCAGUUGCCUAGCAACAAUCCUCUCAGGAUCAUCGUGGGUGUUAAGGCUGUUUUAUGCUUCUGCGUCAACUUCACGCCGUAGCUACGCCGUGGCUCCUACGGCAUCGCGAGGCAGCGGGGUCUGAGGGGGGACCGUCGAUUUGACACAGAAGCAUAUAUCAGCCUUUAGACCCCAAACACAAAGGCCCAAACCUCCAUACUUCAUCCUUUAUGAUUCCUAAUAUUCAGAAUCAUUCAUUCAUAAACAGAAUCAUUCAUCAUUCAUGAACAGAAAAGGCCAAAACUGGAAGAUGUCAACAAAUGCAGAAAGAAAUGCCAAAAACGUGGAAAAAAGCCACAAACCUUUUCCUACCUGCUGUUGUUUCCGUCUGUCUGACAGUAACCUGGUAAACCGUGUCCAGGUAAACCGUGACCAGGUAAACCAUGACCAGGUAAACCAUGACCAGGUAAACCGUGACCAGGUAAACCAUGUUCAGGUAAACCCUGACCAGGUAAACCCUGACCAGGUAAACCGUGGCCAGGUAAACCAUGUUCAGGUAAACCCUGACCAGGUAAACCCUGACCAGGUAAACCGCGACUAGGUAAACCAUGACCAGGUGAACCGUGACCAGGUGAACCGUGACCAGGUGAACCAUGUUCAGGUAAACCCUGACCAGGUAAACCCUGACCAGGUAAACCGUGACCAGGUAAACCAUGUUCAGGUAAACCCUGACCAGGUAAACCCUGACCAGGUAAACCGUGACUAGGUAAACCAUGACCAGGUGAACCGUGACCAGGUAAACCGUGUCCAGGUAAACCGUGACUAGGUAAACUGUGACCAGGUAAACCCUGACCAGGUGAACUGUGUCCAGGUGAUUUUCGUUAAACGGUUCUGUCUUCAUUAGAUCUCAGCCUGAAGCUUCACAUUAACUUCCUCUGAGUUCACUGUUCUGUAUUUUCUUUCUUGCACUAUUGUCCCGUUCAGUAUAUCUAUGCAAACAUCAACGGCCAAUCGGCACACAGAAACAAACAUCAACAGCAAAUUAGCACGCAGAAACAAACUGAUAAUCGGCAGAGUGACAGAUGUUUUCAUAUUCUGCUUUUUAGUUUUGUUUUUGAUUUAAAAUUCUGGGCAAAAUUCUUCUAUUUUACUUUUAUUUUGUGUAAAUCUGCGUGUGCAGAUUGCGUGUGUCCUCUGGUGAUGAGGAGUUAACAUGUUUAAAACUAAAAUAAUAAAAUGUAUAAAUGUUCAAAUGUUAAUGACAUCAGAGUUAGCUUGAAGCUAACCCAGCCCAUUGGUUUGAAUGAGGAAUGAGUGCAAAAGGUCUCGGAGAUGUUAAAUUGUCACUCUGUCACUUUAAACCUCACUGCCAUGGUAACCACGCUCCCCUCCCAUUGGCCUGUUGCUGACGGUUGUUUUGAUGAUGUCACUGUUUGUUUGCCUUUUUUCUGUUUAGCUGAACCAAUCAGCUGCCAGCUUUCUCUGGAAUAAAAAAAAACUGUUGUUCAA